rnacentral:rRNA from 1 species
CCUACGGGAGGCAGCAGUGGGGGAUAUUGGACAAUGGGGGGAACCCUGAUCCAGCGACGCCGCGUGAGUGAAGAAGUAUUUCGGUAUGUAAAGCUCUGUCAGCAGGGAAGAAAGCAAUGACGGUACCUGACCAAGAAGCCCCGGCUAACUACGUGCCAGCAGCCGCGGUAAUACGUAGGGGGCAAGCGUUAUCCGGACUUACUGGGGGUAAAGGGAGCGUAGACGGCUGUGCAAGUCUGGAGUGAAAGGCGGGGGCCCAACCCCCGGACUGCUCUGGAAACUGUAUGGCUGGAGUGCAGGAGAGGUAAGCGGAAUUCCUAGUGUAGCGGUGAAAUGCGUAGAUAUUAGGAGGAACACCAGUGGCGAAGGCGGCUUACUGGACCGUAACUGACGUUGAGGCUCGAAAGCGUGGGGAGCAAACAGGAGUAGAUACCCGAGUAGUC